rnacentral:rRNA from 1 species
UGGCGACCGGCGCACGGGUGAGUAACACGUAUCCAACCUGCCGAUGACUCGGGGAUAGCCUUUCGAAAGAAAGAUUAAUACCCGAUGGCAUAGCUCUUCCGCAUGGUAGAACUAUUAAAGAAUUUCGGUCAUCGAUGGGGAUGCGUUCCAUUAGGUUGUUGGCGGGGUAACGGCCCACCAAGCCUUCGAUGGAUAGGGGUUCUGAGAGGAAGGUCCCCCACAUUGGAACUGAGACACGGUCCAAACUCCUACGGGAGGCAGCAG